rnacentral:lncRNA from 1 species
AACGUUUUGUAGAUAAUAAAAACAAAUAAAUAAAACAAAAAAUUUAACAAAGGCAGUGGCUGACUGGCUGUUUGGCUGUUGUGACAGGAUAGUGCUGGUGAAGGUGGCGGGAAUGUUGAUUGUGGUAAUGUCGUCUGAGAGGAUAGGUGGUUGCAGCAACGAUCAUGUUGGUGACGGGCGGUAGGUUUGACGGUUUUCGCCUUGGCGAUGGGAAGUUGUGGCAACGAUUGCCGGUUGGUGGUGUGGCGGUGGCCGUGUACCAAGUGUGUGCAAUGGACCAAGACUUGAUCAGACCGAACAAAAAAAAAUAGGACUGAUGUCUGGACCUGAAGUAACUCGGCCGGGCUCGGUUCGGCCAGACCUAAUAGGCGAAUACAGGGUUGCGAAACCAAAGAAAAAACGGAAAAGACGAGCGGGUUGAAAAAGAACUAAACGAGGUUGCAUCUACAAAUGCGCUGAAGAUCUGUACAUAAUGCUGUAUACAGGGGAAAGUGAUGUUUGAAACUGAAGUUGGAACCGGGUUGCUGCAUUUGUAUACGAAAGAUCUACAACCUAGUAUGCUUAUUGGUCUUGCGAUUGUCAAUUUUUUGCUUCUAUGCUAAAUUAUGAGGAGGUUAAGAGAACGUGAUGAACACAACUCUGCCUUUUCUGCCAUACAGAUUGCUUUCUGAGUAUUAGGUUAAAUACAUUUCGUUAUACAAGUGAAUGAAUAUUUCGC